CUGACGCUGAGGCACGAAAGCUAAGGGAGCAAACAGGAUUAGAUACCCUGGUAGUCCUAGCCGUAAACGAUGGGUACUAGGUGUGGGUGGUUUCGAUACCAUCCGUGCCGUAGUUAACGCAUUAAGUACCCCGCCUGGGGAGUACGCGCGCAAGCAUGAAACUCAAAUGAAUUGACGG
rnacentral:rRNA from 1 species